UACAGAGGGUGCUAGCGUUGUUCGGAAUCAUUGGGCGUAAAGGGCGUGUAGGCGGUUUGUUAAGUCGGAUGUGAAAUCCCUCGGCUCAACUGAGGAAGUGCAUCCGAAACUGGCAGGCUUGAAUACUAAAGAGGGUCGCGGAAUUCCCGGUGUAGAGGUGAAAUUCGUAGAUAUCGGGAGGAACACCGGUGGCGAAGGCGGCGACCUGGGUAGAUACUGACGCUGAGGUGCGAAAGCGUGGGGAGCAAACAGG
rnacentral:rRNA from 1 species